GGGCCAAACGUAGGAGAAUAUAAAAUGGGGAUCAGAGGCCAUCGACCAUAACCGUAUCCUUAGUUUCGCCGAAAAACAUGGGGAGUAUGUAUCGGUCGACGACUUGCGUAGGCACGUUAAUCAAUGCUCUUGGUCGAUGAACUGCUGAAAGUACCGAUACCUUAAUAGCUCCUGACUAUGUAUAAAAGACACUAAUUCUCGUAAAGUAAAUCAGUAGCUUCACCGGAGGUUGUCAACGAAUACAAAGCUUGUCUAGCAAUACAAAGUUCAAAAUAAUGCAUUUACGGGUUGCAUUUGGUUUGGUUUUCGUCGUUAUGGUGGCUGAUGUUGUUGUUGCCCGACCGGAACCACUGCCUAUGUAUUUGGCUAAUCGUGCCAUCAAAUCAACAGGAUUCGAAGUAAAAAAGACCGACCAAAAUGUGCAGAGGACUUCGGCAGAAGUAAGAGAUUCAGCGGACACCGUACCAACCAUAAAAACUUCAGAUAAUAUCUCCCAAACGAAUAAAGACAAAAUUUC